rnacentral:SRP_RNA from 1 species
ACCGUGACGUGAAGGAAUGCUGGCCAGAGGGAACACGUCCCC